GGUUACAAUCUGACUGCCACAUCAGUCACCCUAUUGAUUGUCAGGUUGAUUUGACCGAUAUGGCUGGCUAGGCAAGUGUGUCCUUCCUCCUUCACUGGUCCAGGUGUAUCCUUCUAGAAGCCACAGUAUGUUGAAGAGGAUGACCUUCCCUCAACAGGGGAGGAUUGGUCUUUGGUUAAGGGUAUAUGAGUAGUUGUGCUCCCCUACUAGAAUCUCCAAACAACUUCUUAAGGUCCACACACACCUUUUCUUAAAAAAUUUAAAGCAUUAAGUAUAUAUUUCUAACCUACAUCCUUGAAAUCUUAUGAUUUAUCAG
ensembl:misc_RNA 7SK 7SK RNA